rnacentral:rRNA from 1 species
CCACGUAAGGGGCGAGCGUUGUUCGGAAUUAUUGGGCGUAAAGGGCGCGUAGGCGGUUUUACAAGUCUGGUGUGAAAUACCUCAGCUUAACUGAGGGACCGCGCUGGAAACUGUAAGACUAGAAUCUAGGAGGGGAAGCUGGAAUUCCUGGUGUAGGGGUGAAAUCUGUAGAUAUCAGGAAGAACACCGGUGGCGAAGGCGAGCUUCUGGCCAUAGAUUGACGCUGAGGCGCGAAAGCGUGGGGAGCGAACAGGAUUAGAAACCCCGGUAGUCC